AAAUUGAAGAGUUUGAUCAUGGCUCAGAUUGAACGCUGGCGGCAGGCCUAACACAUGCAAGUCGAACGGUAACAGGAAUCAGCUUGCUGAUUCGCUGACGAGUGGCGGACGGGUGAGUAAUGUCUGGGAAACUGCCUGAUGGAGGGGGAUAACUACUGGAAACGGUAGCUAAUACCGCAUAAUGUCGCAAGACCAAAGAGGGGGACCUUCGGGCCUCUUACCAUCGGAUGUGCCCAGAUGGGAUUAGCUAGUAGGUGGGGUAACGGCUCACCUAGGCGACGAUCCCUAGCUGGUCUGAGAGGAUGACCAGCCACACUGGAACUGAGACACGGUCCAGACUCCUACGGGAGGCAGCAGUGGGGAAUAUUGCACAAUGGGCGCAAGCCUGAUGCAGCCAU
rnacentral:rRNA from 1 species